UGCUGGCGAAACAUCAGGAACUACAAUGCCAAGACCACGGCAAUACAGCCCGGAAAACCCACAACAACCAUCGCUCUCUGGCCGUGAAAGCCUUUGACAACGUACAAGCAUCCUUGAGAACAUGUGCAUUUCCCCAAACAGUUUGGGGUUCUGGGAAGAGGGGAGGCUCAAGCUCUUUCUCCGUACACACUACUCAAAUUCUCCAUAUACACUACUCACCUGAUCUGAAUCAGGCAUUGGAUAAAUGGGAUUUGAGAACCUGCAACUCACAUCUGACUGUGUUACACCUGACACAGGGACUCCACACCCAGCCUGUUUACUAUGUGAUGUAUGAAUUGGCUGGUUGAAAACACAGAGCCAUAUUUUUUUUGGUCAAUUUGUCAAAUGUUUGUGAACAUUGAGCCUGUUUGUCAGGUUAUUUUUUAAUUAUUCAAACAGUACUAUACAGUGCAACUGGCAGCAUUUAACAAAUAGCACAUUCUCACCACAGCCCGAUGGGAGUCCUACUUUCCCCUCCCCUGUAGAUCUGUUGUCACUGCAUGCCACUCAGCAGCCGCCAGUUGUAUAAAUAAAUAGUGGGCAAAUCAAUCAGCCAGCCAGCAAUUAUAAAUAAACGCUUUUUAAAAAGACUUACUGUUUAAUGGCAUUCAUUUAAAUUCAUGUUAUCAAUGUUAUUUUGUGCAUGUGUAUUUAUGGGAGGUGUCAUUUAAUUACCUGACCCAAUCAUCCUUGACCCUGUCCCCUACUGCACAGAAGCAAAAGCCCGCACAAGGCAAGGAAGUGAAACUCCACCACAGCAAGGCAAUCCAACCUCAGCUACUGCACAAGUAAAAAACUGCUCAACAUCCAUUCAAGAUGGACAGGUGAAGGGAUUGGGUGUUUGGGGCAUAGGUGACAGUGGCUGUCCAAAAGGUGUAUGGUUCCAUGGCAGGGUGAUGUGACCGAAUAUCCCCUUCCAUACAUAUGCAACCCAAAGUGGUUGGCAGCAAAGAGAACAUAGAAUUAUUAGAGUGUAGGAGCUCACAUGGGGGACCAAAUUAAGGGAAUUAAGGCAAGCUGUCCUAUGAAAGAAGGAACAAAUUACCCUCGCUGGCAGGUGUCCAUCACAAACUUUGCUACUGCUUCAUGCCUGUCUUACCACUGUUAUGUUUAUGCUCCAUCAUUCACAGUCUCACCAAUGAAUGUUCUGUUAUUUGAUGACUGCAAUGUCAAGUGAAAGCUUGCAUCUAUGAAUGAGCUACCACAGAUAUAAAUGUAAUAUCACUCAAGAUACAAUGCUUUUCAGGCAGUGAACUUGGUUCAUAUAUUUUUCUGUCUGUUAUCAAAUGCACAGCAAUCAAGAGAAUUGAAGAGAAAUGUGUAUGUGAACCAACUCUCAAAACAAUGACAAGUAGCUCCUAUAAGAUCGUUAUUUUUUCACUUUUCUAAGGUGUCUUGCUGGUGCCAAAUAUUUUAUUCUUGACUAGAAUUGUGUUAAAAUAAAUCACACCCAAUCAUCAAUAAAUGCUAUGAUUUCAACGCUCUGAAUUUUGACCAAAUUAGCAAUUUCCCUUUCAGCUUCCCUUUCCUUCCCCCUUCUUGUGUCCCUUACCGCUCAGAAGCAACAUUUUGAGGAGUUCCGUGGGUUUCAUUGGAAGGAGGGGGGAGGUAGGAAAGUUCCAAUCUGCUGACAAGAACUAUAGUUUGGAUCCAAGCCAGAAUUCUAACCCAAAUUCAAGAGCAACUGAAAACUAGAUAGUAGAUUGUGGCAUCUCACUGUCUGGUUUCAUUUCUUUAGGCAGCAGGAAGAAGGGACAGCAAGGGGAUAGAGUGACUCAGUAGGUGGGUCCCUAAGAGGGACACUGUCCCACCAGAAUGGUUAUCAAAUCUUCCUGCCAAACAGGUUCAUCCUGACUGACUUUUUCAUACAUUUUUCACUUUCUGCCAAUCCUUUCAGCAUGACAAACUUUCAGAGAGUUUUUGAUGCUAUAUAACUAUGUGCCCUGUGUUUGCAAGAGAUAUUUUGUUCUCUGCAGUUGUGCUUUCUAAGUAAGAACAAAGUCUGCAUAUGCUGUCAAGCAGGGAAGAGUGGGAAGAAGCAGAAGCUACAGUUCACCCUUUAUAGGCUUGGGAGGGUAGAGAGCAGAGGCUUAGAUUAGGUGCUACUAGUUAUAGCUAGCUCGUCCCCUCAUGAUAGGCUGUCCUCCUAGAUCUCCAGCAGAAGACAAAGGCACUGACUUUUUGCACAUACUGAAAGGCAGACAAGGCUUCAGAGAUGGGAGGCAUAGAGGUAGAGGCCUAGCCCCGCCCCUUCUGUGGUAGAAAGUGCCAUCAAGUCCUAGAGACGGAAGUCAAGAGACUGAAAGCCAACUAAGUUGACCUCUGUAAAACAUUAAUCAGGUGAUCUCUGUUGCUGCUUGUGUUGUGCUGGCAAAGUUGCUCCACAGUUCACAACUCCAGCCUUACACUUUUUUCUUUUUCUUUUUUAAAUACACACACAGACACAGACAAUUAACAUGAGAUCUGAACUUUUGAUCAUAGUGAACGCCACUUCCAGCAAAUCCCCUACUGCAGGAAAGUGAUUAUCAUUCUCUUAGCUGAAUGAUGGUCAUACAAGUAGCUACUUGUCCUACCCUCAAGAUGGAUUUGGAUUUUCUUUCUCUUAAAAAUGUGUCACUCCGGCUAUUUUGGCAAGAAGACCAACAUGAGAAGAAACAAUGGCAAAGAAUCUCAAAACGAGUGAAUAUUAGCUACUAAAUAGAGUUGUAGAGAAUGAGUGAGAAUGGGCUGCUAAAGCCCGUUUGCAUCCUGAUCCAAUAAAUCCUUACUUGGAAAUGUCUCACUGAGUGUAGCAGGACUUAGUCCCAGUCAUACAUCAGCAAGGAUGGUGUUACCUAUCUUUCCCCAGAAACAGAAUGGGAGGAAAGGUCAAAUACUCCUCCACCAGUGCUGCUUUCUAGAUCAAAGGGCUAUAAUUCCCAACAAGAAGCCUGAAGCCUGGGGUACAGCUGCUUCAGAUGGAUGAGAGAGGACUCAUCACUUCUUGGAUGUUGAACUGUUUGCCUUUUCAAGGACAUUGUUGAUUUGGAGGUUUUUUAAUGGUUGCACUUAAGAGUUGAUUUUUUUCAAAAAAAAGUUGUAUUUUAUUAAUUGUUAAAAAGUUUAAAAGGGAAAAAAAGUUAUUUCUUAAAAUUUUGUGUAAGUUGCUUC